AAUGAACGCUGGCGGUGUGCCUAAUACAUGCAAGUCGAACGACCACACAGUAAGCUCUCGCCCCUGCGGUUGGCGAGUGGCGGGCGGGUAAGAAGUGCAUCACCAUCUACUUUGUCGGGGGGGAUUACGGGGGACAACUUACGCUAAUAGCUCAUACGACCUACGGGUGGAAGCAGUGGAUCUUGGGACCUUUCCUGAUACAUUUAGACGGUGCCGGAUUAGCUAGUUGGCGGGGUAAGGGCACACCAAGGCGACGAUCCGUAGCUGGGCUGAGAGGAUGAUCAGCCACACUGGAACUGAGACACGGUCCAGACUCCUACGGGAGGCAGCAGUGGGGAAUAUUCGACAAUGGGCGAAAGCCUGACGCAGCAAUGCCGCGUGAGUGAAGAAGGUCUUCGGGUUGUAAAGCCCUUUUGUUGGGAAAGAAAAGAAGCGGGUUAAUCCAUGGCUGUUUUGACGGUACCUAAAGAAUAAGCACCGGCUAACUUCGUG
rnacentral:rRNA from 1 species